UAAGGAAUAUUGGUCAAUGGACGCAAGUCUGAACCAGCCAUGCCGCGUGAAGGAUUAAGGUCCUCAGGAUUGUAAACUUCUUUUAUCUGGGAAGAAACUCUCGAUUUCCAUCGGGAUUGACGGUACCAGAGGAAUAAGCACCGGCUAACUCCGUGCCAGCAGCCGCGGUAAUACGGAGGGUGCAAGCGUUAUCCGGAUUUACUGGGUUUAAAGGGUGCGUAGGCGGGCAGGUAAGUCUGUGGUGAAAUCUCCGAGCUUAACUCGGGAACUGCCAUGGAUACUAUUUGUCUUGAAUACCGUGGAGGUGAGCGGAACAUGGCAUGUAGCGGUGAAAUGCUUAGAUAUGCCAUAGAACACCUAUUGCGAAGGCAGCUCACUACACGGUGAUUGACGCUGAGGC
rnacentral:rRNA from 1 species